CACGUAGGGGGCGAGCGUUGUCCGGAUUUAUUGGGCGUAAAGAGCUCGUAGGCGGCUCGGUAAGUCGGGUGUGAAAUUUCGAGGCUUAACCUCGAAACGCCACCCGAUACUGCUGUGGCUAGAGUCCGGUAGGGGAGCGUGGAAUUCCUGGUGUAGCGGUGAAAUGCGCAGAUACCAGGAAGAACACCAAUGGCGAAAGCAGCUCUCUGGGACGGUACUGGACGCUGAGACGCGAAAAGCGUGGGGAGC
rnacentral:rRNA from 1 species